rfam:Ruegeria atlantica strain CECT 4293 genome assembly, contig: 0004
AAUCAAGCGCGAGAAGGGCGUUUGGUGAAUGCCUUGGCAGCAAGAGGCGAUGAAAGACGUGAUACUCUGCGAUAAGCCAUGGGGAGCUGAGAAUAAGCUUUGAUCCAUGGAUUUCUGAAUGGGGCAACCCACCUGAAUGUUUGUUAUUGUUAGCACUGCUAAUCAAUAAUGGGCAUAACCAGGUAUUUAUGACCUGAAUACAUAGGGUUAUAAAGGCAAACCCGGGGAACUGAAACAUCUAAGUACCCGGAGGAAAGGAAAGCAAUUGAUACUCCCCUAGUAGCGGCGAGCGAACGGGGACCAGCCGAGCCUUG